AUACGGAGGGUGCAAGCGUUGUCCGGAUUUAUGGGGUUUAAAGGGUGCGUAGGUGGCGUGUUAAGUCAGUGGUGCAAGCCUGCAGCUCAACUGUAGAGGUGCCAUUGAUACUGACAUGCUUGAGUAUGGACGAGGUAGGCGGAAUUUGUGGUGUAGCGGUGAAAUGCAUAGAUACCACAAAGAACACCGAUAGCGAAGGCAGCUUACUGGACCAUAACUGACACUGAGGCACGAAAGUGUGGGUAGCGAACAGGAUUAGAAACCCCAGUAGUCC
rnacentral:rRNA from 1 species